rnacentral:siRNA from 1 species
CCUUAUCUUUUCAAAGUGUCUA